rnacentral:rRNA from 1 species
UUGUAAUUUGCAGAGGAUGUUUCUGGCGCGGUGCCUUCCGAGUUCCCUGGAACGGGACGCCACAGAGGGUGAGAGCCCCGUAUGGUCGGACACCAAGCCUGUGUGAAACUCCUUCAACGAGUCGAGUAGUUUGGGAAUGCUGCUCUAAAUGGGAGGUAAAUCUCUUCUAAAGCUAAAUACCGGCCAGAGACCGAUAGCGCACAAGUAGAGUGAUCGAAAGAUGAAAAGCACCUUGAAAAGGGGGUUAAAUAGUACGUGAAAUUGUUGAAAGGGAAGCACUUAUGACCAGACUUGGGCCGGGCGGCUCAUCAGGGGUUCUCCCCUGUGCACUCCGCCCGGCACAGGCCAGCAUCGGUUUUCGCGGGGGGAUAAGACCGACGGGAACGUAGCACCCUCCGGGGUGUGUUAUAGCCCGGCGGACGAUACCCUCGCGGGGACCGAGGUCCGCGCUCCGCAAGGAUGCUGGCGUAAUGGUCAUCAGUGACCCGUCUU